UCGAGGCACAUGGGCCGAGGGAUCCCUUGGGAAGACCGUCCCCAAAGCCAGGAAGACACAGCAUGGCAGGACCUAGAUGUGACGUCUGCCUUUCUCAGCUGGCACCCCUCUGUCUGAACUCCAGGCAGUUGGAAGCUAGCAGGGCUUGAUGCAGGCGGUGCCGCUAUUGUGAAUUAUUGCCCACAUGCUUAGAAAUGUUGUGAGCAAUGUUGGAGACAAUUACAAAGGAAACUUUAAAUCAAGUUGACCAUGAAGGAGAUUCAGAGACCUUGGGCUGGCUAGUUAUAGAGAGAUUGCAAGAGUCUCAAGCAAUGGUCAUUGAUUUAUUCACUCCACAAAUUUUUUGUUCCGUGCCUACUCUGUGCCUGGGCUGUCUGAGGGGCUGGAGACACUGAGAGGAGCCUGACACCGUCAUCCCUGCCUUCAUGGAGCAACGGAGAGCCUUCCCUUCCCAUUGAAUAGGCUCCCAUCCAGGAUACCUCACUGCAUUUAGCCGUCAUGUCUCCGGAGGCUCCUCUUGGCCGUGACAGUUCCUCAGACUUCGUUUUUGAUAACCCUGACAGUUUUGAGGAACGCCGAUCCAAUAUUUUGUUCCAGGUCUGGAGGCUGAGAAGUCCAAUAUCAUGGUCCUGGUAGAUUCAAUGCCUGUUGAGAACCCAAUCUUCAUCAACAGCCAUCUUCUCCCUGUGUCCUCACAUGGUGGAGAGGCAAGGGAGCUCCCUGAGGUCUCUUUAUCAGGGCACUGAUCUCAUUCAUGAGGGUUCCACCCUCAUGACUAAUCACCUCCCAAAGACCUCACCUCUAAACACCAUCACGUUGGGGGUUAGAUUUCAACAGGUGAAUUUUUGGGAGACACAUUCAAUCUGUGGCAAAUAGGUGUUAAUUUUAUUCCAUCUUCCUUUUUCACAUUUCUUAUUACAAAAACCAAAGUGAUGUGAUGACUUUUCCACUACAGAAGGCUUGGAGGGUCUGUGCAUCAAGAAAGAGAACAUAAGGAAGAAGGGAGUGUUUA